rnacentral:rRNA from 1 species
CCUACGGGAGGCAGCAGUAGGGAAUCUUCCACAAUGGGCGCAAGCCUGAUGGAGCAACACCGCGUGAAUGAAGAAGGGUUUCGGCUCGUAAAGCUCUGUUGUUGGAGAAGAACGUGCGUGAGAGUAACUGUUCACGCAGUGACGGUAUCCAACCAGAAAGUCACGGCUAACUACGUGCCAGCAGCCGCGGUAAUACGUAGGUGGCAAGCGUUAUCCGGAUUUAUUGGGCGUAAAGCGAGCGCAGGCGGUUGCUUAGGUCUGAUGUGAAAGCCUUCGGCUUAACCGAAGAAGUGCAUCGGAUACUGGGCAACUUGAGUGCAGAAGAGGACAGUGGAACUCGAGGUGUAGCGGUGGAAUGCGUAGAUAUAAGGAAGAACACCAGUGGCGAAGGCGGCUGUCUGGUCUGCAACUGACGCUGAGGCUCGAAAGCAUGGGUAGCGAACAGGAUUAGAUACCCUGGUAGUC